CACAGGUUGUGAACUCGAAGAGUAGGGCGGGACACGUGGUAUCCUGUCUGAAUAUGGGGGGACCAUCCUCCAAGGCUAAAUACUCCUGACUGACCGAUAGUGAACCAGUACCGUGAGGGAAAGGCGAAAAGAACCCCGGCGAGGGGAGUGAAAUAGAACCUGAAACCGUGUACGUACAAGCAGUGGGAGCACCUUCGUGGUGUGACUGCGUACCUU
rnacentral:rRNA from 1 species